CGACCCUCGGGGCCCCUCCCUCUUGCAGGGCGGCGGCCCCGGCCUUGGGCCAGCGCGUGCCGCUCUCGAGCGCCGCGCGGCCCGCAGAACAGCGGCGGCAGCACCGGCGACGUCCCCUGCGCAGUAGAAUACACUCGCAUUGGUCUCCCGGCGCGGCCCGCCUCGAAACCCAAACUUCUUUA
rnacentral:misc_RNA from 1 species